rnacentral:rRNA from 1 species
GCCGGCAGCUAGCUCUCUGCAACUCUCACAUGGUCGCCCACUGAAGCUAAGCAGGGCUGCGCCCUUUGGUACCUGGAUGGGAGACCACAUGGGAAAGCUAGGUUGCUGCCGGAA